GACGAACGCUGGCGGCGUGCUUAACACAUGCAAGUCGAACGGAAAGGCCCUGCUUUUGUGGGGUGCUCGAGUGGCGAACGGGUGAGUAACACGUGAGUAACCUGCCCUUGACUUUGGGAUAACUUCAGGAAACUGGGGCUAAUACCGGAUAGGAGCUCCUGCUGCAUGGUGGGGGUUGGAAAGUUUCGGCGGUGGGGGAUGGACUCGCGGCUUAUCAGCUUGUUGGUGGGGUAGUGGCUUACCAAGGCUUUGACGGGUAGCCGGCCUGAGAGGGUGACCGGCCACAUUGGGCCUGAGAUACGGCCCAGACUCCUACGGGAGGCAGCAGUGGGGAAUAUUGCACAAUGGGCGGAAGCCUGAUGCAGCAACGCCGCGUGCGGGAUGACGGCCUUCGGGUUGUAAACCGAUUUCGCCUGUGACGAAGCGUGAGUGACGGUAAUGGGUAAAGAAGCACCGGCUAACUACGUG
rnacentral:rRNA from 1 species